rnacentral:rRNA from 1 species
AGCUUGCUGCUUCGCUGACGAGUGGCGGACGGGUGAGUAAUGUCUGGGAAACUGCCUGAUGGAGGGGGAUAACUACUGGAAACGGUAGCUAAUACCGCAUAACGUCGCAAGACCAAAGAGGGGGACCUUCGGGCCUCUUGCCAUCGGAUGUGCCCAGAUGGGAUUAGCUAGUAGGUGGGGUAACGGCUCACCUAGGCGACGAUCCCUAGCUGGUCUGAGAGGAUGACCAGCCACACUGGAACUGAGACACGGUCCAGACUCCUACGGGAGGCAGCAGUGGGGAAUAUUGCACAAUGGGCGCAAGCCUGAUGCAGCCAUGCCGCGUGUAUGAAGAAGGCCUUCGGGUUGUAAAGUACUUUCAGCGGGGAGGAAGGGAGUAAAGUUAAUACCUUUGCUCAUUGACGUUACCCGCAGAAGAAGCACCGGCUAACUCCGUGCCAGCAGCCGCGGUAAUACGGAGGGUGCAAGCGUUAAUCGGAAUUACUGGGCGUAAAGCGCACGCAGGCGGUUUGUUAAGUCAGAUGUGAAAUCCCCGGGCUCAACCUGGGAACUGCAUCUGAUACUGGCAAGCUUGAGUCUCGUAGAGGGGGGUAGAAUUCCAGGUGUAGCGGUGAAAUGCGUAGAGAUCUGGAGGAAUACCGGUGGCGAA